rnacentral:rRNA from 1 species
AGGCCUUCGGGUCGUAAAGUUCUGUUGUUAGAGAAGAACAAGUACGAGAGUAACUGCUCGUACCUUGACGGUACCUAACCAGAAAGCCACGGCUAACUACGUGCCAGCAGCCGCGGUAAUACGUAGGUGGCAAGCGUUGUCCGGAAUUAUUGGGCGUAAAGCGCGCGCAGGCGGUUCCUUAAGUCUGAUGUGAAAGCCCACGGCUCAACCGUGGAGGGUCAUUGGAAACUGGGGAACUUGAGUGCAGAAGAGGAGAGCGGAAUUCCACGUGUAGCGGUGAAAUGCGUAGAGAUGUGGAGGAACACCAGUGGCGAAGGCGGCUCUCUGGUCUGUAACUGACGCUGAGGCGCGAAAGCGUGGGGAGCAAACUGGAUUAGAUACCCUGGUAGUCCACGCCGUAAACGAUGAGUGCUAAGUGUUAGAGGGUUUCCGCCCUUUAGUGCUGCAGCUAACGCAUUAAGCACUCCGCCUGGGGAGUACGGUCGCAAGACUGAAACUCAAAGGAAUUGACGGGGGCCCGCACAAGCGGUGGAGCAUGUGGUUUAAUUCGAAGCAACGCGAAGAACCUUACCAGGUCUUGACAUCCUCUGACAACCCUAGAGAUAGGGCGUUCCCCUUCGGGGGACAGAGUGACAGGUGGUGCAUGGUUGUCGUCAGCUCGUGUCGUGAGAUGUUGGGUUAAGUCCCGCAACGAGCGCAACCCUUGAUCUUAGUUGCCAG